rnacentral:misc_RNA from 1 species
UACGUAGGGUCCGAGCGUUGUCCGGAAUUAUUGGGCGUAAAGGGCUCGUAGGCGGUUUGUCGCGUCGGGAGUGAAAACACCGAGCUUAACUGGGUGCUUGCUUCCGAUACGGGCAGACUAGAGGCAUGCAGGGGAGAACGGAAUUCCUGGUGUAGCGGUGAAAUGCGCAGAUAUCAGGAGGAACACCGGUGGCGAAGGCGGUUCUCUGGGCAUGGUCUGACGCUGAGGAGCGAAAGUGUGGGGAGCGAACAGG